UUGGACGUAGUGCGCGGCGCACGCCCAUUUCAAAUUCCCGGAGGCUUCAUAUUGUGGGAGGUCUGGGUUCGACUCCCAGCGUCCGAA